AACGAACGCUGGCGGCAUGCCUAACACAUGCAAGUCGAACGAGGCCUUCGGGUCUAGUGGCGCACGGGUGCGUAACACGUGGGAACCUGCCCUUAGGUUCGGAAUAACUCCCCGAAAGGGGUGCUAAUACCGGAUAAUGUCUUCGGACCAAAGAUUUAUCGCCUUUGGAUGGGCCCGCGUUGGAUUAGCUAGUUGGUAGGGUAAAAGCCUACCAAGGCGACGAUCCAUAGCUGGUCUGAGAGGAUGAUCAGCCACACUGGGACUGAGACACGGCCCAGACUCCUACGGGAGGCAGCAGUGGGGAAUAUUGGACAAUGGGCGAAAGCCUGAUCCAGCAAUGCCGCGUGAGUGAUGAAGGCCUUAGGGUUGUAAAGCUCUUUUACCCGGGAUGAUAAUGACAGUACCGGGAGAAUAAGCUCCGGCUAACUCCGUG
rnacentral:rRNA from 1 species